UACGUAGGUGGCAAGCGUUAUCCGGAAUUAUUGGGCGUAAAGCGCGCGCAGGCGGUUUUUUAAGUCUGAUGUGAAAGCCCCCGGCUCAACCGGGGAGGGUCAUUGGAAACUGGGAAACUUGAGUGCAGAAGAGAAGAGUGGAAUUCCACGUGUAGCGGUGAAAUGCGUAGAGAUGUGGAGGAACACCAGUGGCGAAGGCGACUCUUUGGUCUGUAACUGACGCUGAGGCGCGAAAGCGUGGGGAGCAAACAGG
rnacentral:rRNA from 3 species